rnacentral:rRNA from 1 species
GAUCCUGGCUCAGGAUGAACGCUAGCUACAGGCUUAACACAUGCAAGUCGAGGGGCAGCAUCGCGAUAGCUUGCUAUUGCGGAUGGCGACCGGCGCACGGGUGAGUAACGCGUAUCCAACCUUCCCGCAACUGGGGAAUAACCUUGCGAAAGUAAGACUAAUACCCCAUGGUCUCCACGGAUGGCAUCUGAAAUGGAGUAAAGGUUUCGGCCGGUUGCGGAUGGGGGAUGCGUCCGAUUAG